rnacentral:lncRNA from 1 species
ACUCACGAACAGAGAGAUCCCCCCAGGCAAGGAUGAACUUCUCUAAAAGGGACACAUGAAUACCAAGAUAUCGGAGGUUUGAGGAAAUACUAUGAAUCUCUCACGGAGCUAUGGAUUCCCUUAAAAGGCUUGGCAACUGAGCCAUGGCACAGGAAGUCUGCCCUGGAUGCUAUCCUGCUGGGAAUUGGCCCUGGGAAACAAAUCCAUCCACCCUGAUGAAUCAUGACAUUAAAAAUGAUGAAGAAAAUGGACUGGUUCCCAGAAAAACAACUCGGGGCAAUAUGAUUCCUCUGUCCAAAGGACUAUGGAUUACAGACACCUCUCUCUUCUGGGAUAAAACAUGUAAACGCGGGAUUGAGAUCUCUAUGCCUGUUCUUCCGCUGCUGUGGCUACCACUAUUCCAAGAGACAGAAAAAGAAAGUUAAAGACAACAAGAAGUGGGUCUGCAAGGCCCGAAGUGAGUGGUCUGUAAAACUACCGGGCUCACUCACAUGAAUAUAAGGGUGAGAGACGAAAAGCAGUGUGACUAAGUCCUGUGAUUUGGGCACUGGGUCCAAAGCGUAGCCUGGCCCUUAUUUACUAACAUCAGAGUGAAGAAAGACAAGAACUAACUUUGCCUAAAUUUUGCAGCUAAUGCAUUCAGGAACAGACUAAGUCUUGUCCUGACUUGUUGUUUUCCUGAAAAGACUACUUGAGCUUUUAUCCACUUGAUCAACAGGUAUCUUCAUAGUAAACCCAAGUAACCAUUUUUGCACAGUGAAUAAAGUAUUUUUAAUUAUCCAGA